UUGUGCAUCCUUUAUUUUAUUUCAUAUUUCGUCGUUCGAAAUUACAUGAGAUCCCGCCAAGCGCAUGCGCAGUCAAUUCGCCGCGCAAUUGAAUUUUACAGGGAAAGCAACUUUCCCUCAGCAGUCAAAAUACCUAAUUUUCGGCGUUUUUUCGGACCACCGGUUUCGAAAAAAAUACUUCAUUAGGGAGAGAAACUCUCCUUUUUCAUGUUUUUGGAAGACUUUUGAGAAUCUGUGCUGUUUUUAUAUCUAAAAUCGAAGUUUUGUUCCGAUUUCCACGUACACGAUGGCGUCUCCGUCAGGCAGCACCAAGCAGAAAACCAGCGAAACGCUGAGCACGGCUAAAGCCGGAACUUCCCCGGGCGAAACCGCCGCGGGCCCCUCUACGAAGCCUGAGCCAAAGCGCUCAUCGGCAGUGAAAUCCUCCGAUACGAAACGCAAAAGUGUCUUGGCAAAGCCUGCCUCGAAUGAGUCUAAGAACUCUGGGCCUAAAAAGAAGGGCAAAAAGCCUGAAGAAAAGGAGGACUUCACGGAUUUACGAGGAAGACUUGACAAAUUGGAAUCCUUAAUGGAGAGAAUGGUGGAUUUUUUGCCUUGUCAAUCUGCAACUCGCCCCACAGGGGAUACACCACCGACAGCAUUUACAGCUGCGACGAACGUGAGAUUUCGUGAAGUUGAACAUGAUGAUGAUGAUUUUGAGCAUAUUGACACUGGAAACAUGGGCCAAUGCCCUACGUCAUAUGACAUUGGCAGCAUGGAUGAGGGUGAUGUCAACGAAACUGUUGCACCAGGUUUAGACCAGGAGAAUGAGGACAAAGUUCCUGCCCUGGCUCAGAAAUUUGCUAUCCCUACUGGGGUUGGUGGCGCGAUCCACGAUGAUUUAGCAAAGUCUGCCAUGUACCUCAUGUCCCACCAGCUAGAGGAAAAUGUGUUGGAGGAAGCUGGAGGGAAAUACCCUCCUCCAAGCAAUUGUACUCCACUGUGUUGCCCCAAAGUGAAUGCAGCAAUAUGGGAAAACCUAUCCUCGCAAACGAGAAGCCGUGAUUUGAAACUGCAAAGAAUCCAAAAGCCUUUGACAAGGGGACUCACAGCUUUUAUUCAAACUCUGUCCCCCGAUAGCCUAUCUGAGACACAACAGGAUGCAUUGGCAUUGCUGUGUAACACAAACUUUGAAAUCAACUGCUUACGCAAAGAUCAGAUUAAGCCAGACUUAAAUGCCAAGUACUCACAUCUUUGCAAACCUGCCACACCAGUGAGUCAGUACUUAUUUGGCGAUGACUUAACAAAGAGAGUCAAAGAUCUUACAGAACAACAAAAAGCUGCAUCUGGCGUGGUGCGUGGACAACGUACACCCCGCCCCCAGUACCAUCCGUACAGGACGCAAGCGUCCAGCACUUUUCAAUACCGCAGACAAGGAUGGAACCGUGCCACCGGCACAUCACAAACUUUUCCAAGUAGCAGGCCCGCAAGUGGGAACUACAACACGCCUUUUUUAGGCCAGCGAACCCAACGAGGCAGACCAUACAGAGCUCCGCCUCACACCCAGACGAUGAGCAUGGGAAAACAGACCCAAUCCUUCCAGCGGCCACAGGCAGCAAGGAGGAAAUAGCUACACCAUUACCCAAAGAGGUAAGUAGCACAUAUGAAUAUUGUGAGAAUGUUAAUGCUCCUUCUACUUCAUGUACAUUACAACAAGAAUGCAUCUCAAAUGUGCCUGUUGGAGGUCGAUUGAUAUAUUUCUAUCGUAGACGGCGUGAAUUAACGUCAGAUCUAUUUCUACUAUCGGCAGUGCGAGGCUAUGAGAUCGAAUUUGAUUAUGCGAAAGGGGUUCCCUCAAGAAAUAAGCCCCUCUACGGUUACAAAAAAGAGCCCUUUAGAAAUAAAUCAGAUAACUAAAGAAAUCUUGGCUCUACAAGCAAAAAACGUAAUAGAACCUUGCUCAUUUGAAGAGGGAGAAUUCCUCUCAAACAUCUUCACGAGACCCAAGAAAGAUGGGGGUACUCGUAUGAUCUUAGACUUAACAGAGCUUAAUCAAAGUCUGAAUGUACAACACUUUAAGAUGGAUAACAUCCACACUGCCAAGCACUUGAUUUCUCCGCACUGUUAUCUUGCAUCAAUCGACCUCCAAGAUGCUUAUUACUCCAUUCCAGUAGACCCAAAUAGUAGAAAAUACUUGAGGUUCAUGUGGCAGGGUGAGCGCUGGCAAUUUGCAGCCUUACCUAAUGGGCUCAGCACAGCCCCCAGACUGUUCACAAAAUUGCUGAAGCCAGUCUUUGCCGAACUGCGACAAGCAGGUCAUACAGUCAUAGGAUAUUUGGACGACACCAUAAUUAUUGGUGAAACAAAAGAAAAGCUGAAAGAGAGUGUGAGUGCAACAACCAAGAUCCUCUCAGAAUUAGGAUUUCAUUCACACUAAAAAAUCAGUGCUCAUCCCAACACGUGAACUAGCCUUUCUUGGCUUCAUUCUUAACACUGAGAGUAUGAUUGUUAAAUUGCCUCAAACAAAGGCACAAGAAGUGAAAGAUUUAUGCCGUGAAUUAAUGGGCACGUACCUCCCAUCAAUACGAAUGGUAGCACGAGUGAUUGGGAAGGUCAUAGCAACUUUCCCUGCGGUUGAGUAUGGCCCCUUAUACUAUAGAUCAAUGGAAAGGGACAAAAUUGCAGCCCUCAGACAAAACAGGGGUCAUUUUGACAGAAAGAUGAAGUUGUCCCUUGAGGCAAAAGAGGAGUUAAAAAUUGCACACAGAUGCCAGUGGCCUUGGAUGGGGAGCUACUGACCUCCAGAAGCAAACAGGGGGUCGUUGGAAUGAAUUUGAGGCAGAAAGGGCACGAAACAAUGAAAUAAAUUUCCUGGAAACCCUAGCCGCUGGGUUGGGGAUAAAAUCCUUUUGCAUGAAUAAGCGUAACGUUCAUGUGAUGGUAAGAAUAGAUAAUACCACUGCAGUGGCUUAUUUAAAUCACAUGGGAGGCUGCAAGUCCGCAAUGUGUGACAAGAUGACGAGAGAAAUUUGGCAGUGGUGCAUUUCUCGAAAUAUUUGGGUCUCCGCAGCCCAUGUACCUGGUCGGCUCAAUACUAUUGCAGAUGAAAGAUCCAGGAAAUUUAAUGAUCGAACAGAAUGGAAACUAAACAGACAAGUGUUCGAUAGAAUAGUUUCCCACUUUGGUGUACCAGAAAUAGACCUGUUCGCCUCGAGACUAAAUGCUCAAGUAGAGAAAUAUGUCACUUGGCACCCAGACCCUGGGGCUUUUGCAGUUGACGCAUUUACGCUAGAUUGGAAACCUUUUGCAUUCUAUGCAUUCCCACCGUUCUGUAUGAUCCCCAAAUGCUUGCAAAAAAUCAGAGAGGAUAAAGCUAGAGGGUUACUUCUGGUCCCUAAUUGGCCUACUCAGGCGUGGUUCCCUCAGUUGGUUAGCAUGAUGGAAGGAGAGCCACUGUUUAUCCAGAGGCAAGAAGAUUUGCUACUCCUUCCUGUGUUAAACACCACCCACCCUCUUAAUGCUAAUAUUGACCUCCUAUGUUGCAGGUUAUGCGGCAACAUUUUGAGAAUCGGGGACUAAGCAGACGAACAGUGGAUAUCAUUACAGCUUCAUGGAGAGCAUCAACCUGCAAGCAGUACCAAGUGUACAUCACACAGUGGCGAAGAUUUUGCCACAGCAGGAAUACGAGUUACCUCCAAGCCGAGGUGGAAACGGUACUAGAAUUCCUUAGUAGUUUAUUUCAUGACAGGAACCUUAGCUACAGUGCGAUCAAUACAGCUCGUAGCGCUUUAUCCACUUUUCUGAUUCUCGUUGACAGUAAUCAGACAAUAAGUACUCACCCACUUAUAACCAGACUGAUGAGAGGUGUUUUUCAACUCAGACCUGUCGUACCUAGAUAUACAGAAAUAUGGAAUAUUAGUCCAGUCCUCAAUUUUCUAAGAAAAUUGUCUCCAGUAAACUCCUUAAACCUCAGAGAUUUAACACUCAAAGUAUGUAUACUAAUGGCUCUUGUAUCGGCACAGAGAGUGCAAACCUUGCAUAUAUUGAAGACUAACAAGAUGACCCUAAAAGGGGGCUUUGUGGUUUUUCAUUUGGAUGAACACUUGAAGCAAAGCAAACCAGGAAAUACCGAUUUUAAUUUUAAAUUGGAAGCAUAUCCACCUGAUAGAAGAUUGUGUAUUGUAAAAUAUGUGAAACAUUAUGUCCAGCGCACAGGACCACUUCGUGGGAAUGAGAACUCAUUCUUUGUAAGUUACACCAGACCUCAUAAUAGAGUAACAACUCAAACCUUAUCUCGCUGGAUCAAGACCUGCUUUCAAAGAGCAGGUGUGGAUACAAACGUUUAUAAGGCUCAUUCAACGCGGGCAGCAUCAACUUCAGCAGCUGCCAAGGCAGCACUUCCAAUGGACCAGAUCCUAGCCCGAGCAGGAUGGUCUUCAGAGAAAACGUUUAGGAAGUUCUACAGGAAACCUUUUGAAAACAAGAGAAACUUUACCCAGGCAGUCUUACAAGAUAGCACACUGCUUUAAGAACUGCAUCAGAAGGUUUUUCAAUAGAACUGGCAUUAAGAGACCAGCUGUCUAUUUAAUAGAACUGGGAUUAAGAAACCAGAUGUCUAGAAUAAACUAGAUACAGAAACGAACAAUGUUUUUGCAACAUUAUGACAUCUUAUAUAUGGACGUCUUGUAUGUGAAAUGUUUUGCCACAUGUAUGAACAGACUACAAUAAAUGUCAAAUAUGGUGAGUCAUUGAUUAGAAGCAUUCAAUUCAAUCUGCAUAAUCAGUGUUCACUUUUCC